GACGUCGAUAUUCGACGUCAUAAACACACAACUUUGGUGUUUAUGACGUCGAUAUUCGACGUCAUAAACACGAACAACUUUGGUGUUUAUGACGUCGAUAUUCGACGUGAUAAACACGAACAACUUUGGUGUUUAUGACGUCGUUAUUCGACGUCAUAAACACGAACAACUUUGGUGUUUAUGACGUCGAUAUUCGACGUCAUAAACACGAACAACUUUGGUGUUUAUGACGUCGAUAUUCGACGUC
rnacentral:miRNA from 1 species